rnacentral:rRNA from 1 species
GACGAACGCUGGCGGCGUGCUUAACACAUGCAAGUCGAACGGAAAGGCCCUGCUUGCAGGGUACUCGAGUGGCGAACGGGUGAGUAACACGUGGGUGAUCUGCCCUGCACUUCGGGAUAAGCCUGGGAAACUGGGUCUAAUACCGGAUAGGAGCCAUUUUUAGUGUGAUGGUUGGAAAGUUUUUUCGGUGUAGGAUGAGCUCGCGGCCUAUCAGCUUGUUGGUGGGGUAAUGGCCUACCAAGGCGGCGACGGGUAGCCGGCCUGAGAGGGUGGACGGCCACAUUGGGACUGAGAUACGGCCCAGACUCCUACGGGAGGCAGCAGUGGGGAAUAUUGCACAAUGGGCGCAAGCCUGAUGCAGCGACGCCGCGUGGGGGAUGACGGCCUUCGGGUUGUAAACUCCUUUCGCUAGGGACGAAGCUUUUUGUGACGGUACCUAGAGAAGAAGCACCGGCUAACUACGCG